AGUGAACGCUGGCGGUAGGCCUAACACAUGCAAGUCGAACGGCAGCACAGUAAGAGCUUGCUCUUACGGGUGGCGAGUGGCGGACGAGUGAGGAAUACAUCGGAAUCUACUUUUUCGUGGGGGAUAACGUAGGGAAACUUACGCUAAUACCGCAUACGACCUACGGGUGAAAGCAGGGGAUCUUCGGACCUUGCGCGAUUGAAUGAGCCGAUGUCGGAUUAGCUAGUUGGCGGGGUAAAGGCCCACCAAGGCGACGAUCCGUAGCCGGUCUGAGAGGAUGAUCAGCCACACUGGAACUGAGACACGGUCCAGACUCCUACGGGAGGCAGCAGUGGGGAAUAUUGGACAAUGGGCGCAAGCCUGAUCCAGCCAUACCGCGUGGGUGAAGAAGGCCUUCGGGUUGUAAAGCCCUUUUGUUGGGAAAGAAAAGCAGCAGGUUAAUACCCCGCUGUUCUGACGGUACCCAAAGAAUAAGCACCGGCUAACUUCGUG
rnacentral:rRNA from 1 species